UUUUGCGUUUUUCUUGUGCGCCAAAAUGCCGUUACCGACGGCAUGCAACAAGUGGGUCUUACCUAAACCCGUGCCACCGUA
rnacentral:antisense_RNA from 1 species